GCCUGGGUGGCUCAGUUGGUUGAGUGUCUGACUUCGACUCAGGUCGUGAUCUCACGGUUCAUGAGUUUGAGCCCCAUGUCGGGCU
rfam:Felis catus breed Abyssinian Contig133903.1, whole genome shotgun sequence. [26-MAY-2016]